AGUCAUGACAAUCAAUAAGUCAUGGAUUGGAAAACCACGAACCAUGCAUGAGUAUAAAGAUGGUUUAAACAAGUUUUUGGAUUUUGCUUUUGAGCAUCGAUCUCUCACGGGUCGUCAGAUUCAAUGCCCUUGUCCGGUGUGUGGUUUUGGCAAGUGGCAAACAAGAGAGAAAGUUUUUGAACAUUUAAUAGUCAAGCCAUUUUCAGAAAACUACAAAGUUUGGUAUUGGCAUGGUGAAGAAGUAGUUGGAGUUGGGUCACAAGUUCAUCAAACUAGUCAUAUUGUACAAGAUGAUUCGACAUCUCAGCAUCCAAUGGUAACAAUGCUCAAUGACGCGUUUGGAGUUGCUGGACUUGACUUGAAUGAAGAUGGAGGUGGAGAUGAAGACAACAUAGAAGAUGAAGAUGGAGACAAUGCAGCAAAUGAAGAGCACAAUGGAGAAAAUGUAGAAUUUUACAAGUUGUUAGAAGAUGGCAAUGAACAAUUGUAUGAAGGGUGCACAAAGUAUUCAAAACUGUCUUUCUUAAUUAGUCUGUAUCACAUAAAGUGCUUAUAUAGAAUAAGCGACAAAGCCAUGACCGAAAUCCUCAAGUUAUUAAAAGAUGCUUUUGGAAAUGCAUAGAUUUCAAAUACAUUCUAUGAGGCCAAGAAAGCCAUAAAUAAACUAGGGCUUAAUUAUACCAAGAUACCUGCUUGCCCUAAUGACUGCAUGUUAUAUUAGAGUACCAGAUGGUCUCUCGAGUAAUAUUUCACGAUGUGUUGACCUGAAGCAAAGAAAGCUUUCUGGAUUGAAGAGCCAUGAUUGCCACGUUCUUAUGCAGCAACUAUUACCCAUUGCCAUACGUAAUGUGCUACUAGAUAAAGUUACUGCAGUGCUAAUAGAGUUGUCUUCAUUCUUUCAACAGUUGUGCUCUAAAAGCUUAAGUCUUACAGAACUUGAGAAGCUCCAACCUCGAAUAAUCCUUACCCUUUGUCAUUUAGAAAUGUUGUUCCCUCCUUCUUUCUUUACAAUCAUGGUUCAUUUAACCUAUCAUCUAGUUGAUGAAGCAAAACUCGGAGGACCAGUACACUAUAGGUGGAUGUAUCCUAUUGAGAGGUAUUUAGGUCAUUUGAAGUCCUAUGUACGAAACAAAGCUAAAUCAGAAGGUUCUAUAGCUGAGGGAUACGUGGCUGAAGAAGCUCUUACAUUUUGAUCCUCUUGCUGUUGAAGAUGAUGAUGAGGAGGAGACGAUGAUGAUGAUUCUGAAAAGAGUGGGAUUGGAUCAAGAGAGUGAGAUUCCAUCACCAAGAGAGUUAGGAAGUAGGUCUUCUGGAGCGAGCAACAAAGAAGCAUGAUCUUGUAUGAUAAAGAUUUUAUGUAUUAAGUAUUAUAGAUAUAUGUGAAGACAAAUUAUUGAAAAAUGUUAUCUUUGAUACUUUGUUUUAGGAUUAUGAUUUUUUAUUUUUGGAGACUGUGUAUGAAUUAAAAAUCUUGUUAUGAUGUUUGAUUUAAGGUUAUGCUUUUUGGUUAUUAUGA